UGUGUAAAGGUUGCUUCAUUGAAACCAUUAGCUGCCUCUCCUCCAAAGUAGUGAAUGGUUCUGUUGUUGGCAGUGCUGUUUCGUUUCCAACAGCUGAAGUUUCACCCGAGAAUUGGAUUACUUGUACAUUUUGUGCUGUUUCUAUUUGGUCGAUCUUUGAUGUUGCUUUAUUUGAAGUACCUGAUGUUGUAGUAUUUCUGGGAAUAUAAACUGGAGCGUUAUGGUUCAAGUGGCUGUUUGGAUUUGCUGCAGAUGGCAGAUUUGCAUUACAAUUGAUAGUUGCAGGAUUCCCUUGAAAUUUUGGCUUGACUGGAGCCUCCCUAUCCUCUCCUGUACUAUCGUAAUCAUCCUCUUGAUCUUCUUCUGCAGAUGAGAAACCAGUAAAUCCUUCACCCCAGCCCUCGUCAUCAUCAAUUUCUCAUUGGUCUUUCCAGAGUUUCGAUUUAAUGACCAUGUCCCUCAUGUUAGCUAGAAUUAGUUGUUUGUUCUUUCCAUUGGAGAUUGAAAGUUCCCCAAGUGCAGCAAAUGAGUUAGAGCUUGUUAGUAAUGGUGGACUCUUUUCUGCGAUCUGCUUUAUUUUUGUUUUUCAGAGUUUCUUUUUCUGUUGGACCUAUAUGACCAAUUGUUCCUUGCAGUAUCUUGUCCAGUUGCCCUUGUUUGUUUGUAUCAUCAGAAGGCUGUAGAUCAAGCUCACCUUGAUACAAGAUAGUAUUAGAGACAUUUGCAGCUGCUGUAGGUAUUGAGAUGGUCAUACUGUCUUGUUGAACCAUGUCAGGCUUGUGAGGUAUCUUGUCGAAAUGGGUUCUGCGCAAUAUCAUCAGCUGUAUGACUUGCUGUUAUUUGAAUGACAACAUCAUCACUCCCAGAUAUUGCUCGAUCAUCAAGACUUUGCAAAUGAAGUGUAGAAUCCAUCUUUGGCAAAAUAGAAGCUGCAACAGUUGUUUCAUUAUGCAAUGUCCAGUUGGUACUCUUGUUACCCUUUGUAACAAAUGCUGCAAAUUCCAAUUCCAUAACAUCACAUUGAUCACCCGCCUCUUUAUUCUGCCCAGUCAUUUUAAUUGCAUCCAAUGCUAGAGUUUCCUGAACAAUAGUCGGUACAUAUAUCUCUUCUGCUCCUAGCUGCUGAACAUUAUAUAUGUAUUACUGUCCUUUGGAUAGUUCAGUUGUACUGGGAGGGAUAGAAUUAACCAAAACUGAUGCUUUAUUCUUGCUUUCUUGUUGUCC
rnacentral:lncRNA from 1 species